AGAGACGUCUGCUUAGUCCGAUAUUCAUAGUGUGAGUUGUGUUAUGUUAGAUCAUUCAGUAUUCUUCUUUCUUACAAAACAAAAUAGGUAUAAGGCUAAAAGACUGAAAGUGUCCAAAACAGGUAGGGCUGAAGGUCUUGAUCAACAUAUUGCAAACGAAGAAUUUGCAGUAAAUAAAAGUCGAGUUAAGACGAACAAAAGGGAUUGAUGCUGAUGAUGAAUUUGUUGAUGACAAACUGUCAGCAAGGAUUUUAAACGAGCUCUGAAACAACAGCAAGAGCUUGAAGAAGAAACAGGAGCAAGUGGCCAACAUUCAAAGUAUGAGCCACAUCAUUGGGUGCAGACAUUGAAGGAGAUGAAUGUAACAGUGAAGAAUCAAACUUUAAAAAUGAUUCACAGUUUGGGGAAGAUGGGCAAGUUGAUGAAGAUGAUGAAAAAGCCCUGGCACUGUUUAUGAAUCCCAUCCAGCAUCAAGGAGAAAUCUAGCUGGUAUUAGUAUGGAAAAAAUAACAGAAAAGCAGGCCGCGAUCCAAACUCAGUUUUACGAAAUAGAAAGUGUUGAUCCCCGCGCAAAAUCAUUAUAUCUCGGUGUAGCAUCAAUUUUACAUCGCUAUCGUAGUGGAAACUACCAAAAGCGUUCAACCUCAUCCCGUUGGUUUGGUUGUCUAGCGUUGAAGUUUGUUACUAAUUCAUGGAUUUAUUAUGAUAAUGUUGAUUUAUUUCAUCAUACAACCUAAAAAUGGAGCGCUGCUGCUAUGUAUGCUACUACACGGAUAUUCACAUCAAAUUCAACGGAGAAAGUGGCUCAACGGAUUUUAGUUUGGUCCUUUUUCCUCGUGUUCGCUACAAUAUCGCCGAGUACAAGAAACAAAAUUUUCAUCGUUAUGAAGCUCUGUGGAAAGCUCUUUUCUAAACCUGGGGCGUUUUUCUAGGGAUUUCUUCUUCUACUUUGCGAGAGUGGCACCUGCACCUUAAGAGAAGCUAACAUUGUAGGCUCCGUAAUUUCAGUAUGCUGCAUUCCUGUCUUACAUUCGCUGCGGCCAUAUGAAAGCUAGCUGAGAUAAACCAUAGGGGACCACAUAAAAUUUUUCUGCGGACCUCUUUCGACGAAAAGUAAGCGUUGCCGUAUCGUGUAGUUCAUGCAGCAGUUCAUUAUUU